GUCGGUGUCAAAACCGGCGGAUCUCGGGUAGGGGGUCCCGAACUGUGCGUCUAGGCGGAUGGUAACAAGAGACGAGGGACACAAUGUUUUUACCUAGGUUCGGGCCCUCUCGAUGGAGGUAAAACCCUACGUCCUGCUUGAUUAAUAUUGAUGAUAUGGGUAGUACAAGAGUAGAUCUACCACGAGAUCAAGGAGGCUAAACCCUAGAAGCUAGCCUAUGGUAUGAAUGUUGAGAUGUAUGUUCGUCCUACGGACUAAGGCCCUCCGGUUUAUAUAGACACCGGAGAGGCUAGGGUUACACAGAGUCGGUUACAAUGGUAGGAGAUCUACAUAUCCGUAUUGCCAAGCUUGCCUUCCAUGCCAAGGAAAGUACCUUCCGGACACGAGCCGGAGUCUUCAAUCUUCUAUCUUCGUAGUCUUGGAGUCCGGCGGAUAAUGAUAGUCCGGCUGUCCGAACACCCCCUAGUCCAGGACUCCCUCAGUAGCCCCUGAACCAGUCUUCAAUGGCGAUAAGUCUGGCGUGCAUAAUGUUCGGCAUUGCAAGGCGGGUUCCUCCCUUGAAUAUUCGGAGAAGAUAAUGAACACCAGGAUAGUGUCCGGCUCUGCAAAAUAAAUUCCACAUUCCACCGUAGAGAGAAUAAAAUACACACUUAGCUCAAUCUGCUGACGUAUUAUGCGGCGUGACAUCACACCGCAGCCAAGGCCUCGUUUGAAUCGUUUUUUACUAUCCCACCUCAGCACGUUUAGCGAAGCGGUUUUCUUGGCACGUCUUGUCGAAGCAGAGAUCGUGUUCCCCUUAUUCCGGGAUCCUCAUCGAUACGUGCGUGGGUAACCCAACCGUUCCCGUCGCCACGCCUCCUCUAUCGAAGGGGAAUCUCAGACGGUCACGGAGGCGGCCUUUGGUAUUUCUUCCUCUUUAUAAGAGGACCAAGGCCUGUCCUUGUUCUCCAAUCUUGCAUCGAACCUUUCCUCCGCUCACAGCUCCAACACCUAGAGCUUCAGAUUCGAGUGCUUCGGAUCCUCAACAAUGUCCGGCUUCGAACUCCAGGGCCGGUGGAUGCCCUCCUCCGUCACGGAGGAGGACAUAUUGAAGUUGCGUGAGGCCAAGUACCUGGCCUACGAGGUUUCGCACAGGUUGCCUGCCCCAGGGCAGGCCGUGCCAGCCCCCGAGCCCGGCGAAUACGUCGUUUUCGUAUCUCACCUCCGUCGGGGAUUAGGCUUCCCGACGGAUCCUUUCGUGAGAGGGCUCCUAUUCUACUAUGGGCUGGACUUCCACGACUUGGCUCCGGAGUCCAUCCUCCACAUCUCUGCAUUUAUUAUUGUCUGCGAAGCCUUUCUCCGCGUCGUCCCCCACUUCGGCCUGUGGCUGAAAACAUUUAAGGUGGAGCCGAAGAUGAUCGGGGGGCGUCAAGCGGAGUGCGGCGGGGCGACCAUAAGCAAGAAGGUCGAUGCCCCGUGGCUCGAAGGUUCCUUCCAAGAGGAACUGGGAUUGUGGCAGCAGGAGUGGUUUUACAUCACUGCUCCAAGGGGCAGCAAGCAAAAGCCGCCGCCCUCAUUCCGCCCGGGACCUCCACGGCAACUGAUGUCGUGGGUCAACCAAGGGCUCAACUGGGGGCCGUCCGAAGACGUGCCCUCACUGCAGGGCCGGAUUCGAGAUCUCCAAGCGAGGGAGAUCGACCUGGUCAAGGUGGUGUAGGUCAUGCUAGUCAGGCACCUCCUACCCUGCAAACGCCGUCCUCUCCGUUUAUGGGAGUUCAAUCUGGAGGGACCUCAAAUUCUCCAACACUUCAUGGGUGCGACACCCGUGGAGAUGUACAAGCUGUUCUUCGGACCACAGGUGGUGUGUCCGGAUUCGGCCGAGGAUGCAGGUCUAAGCCGCGAUCGCCCGGAUACUCAGGUAAAUAGCUCAGAGUCCGGACAUUCUAUUUAUAUGCCUUUCAAAAGUUCGCCUCCUGACCCUUUGUUCUUUACAGGAAUGGGUGGCGCGAUCCAGGAUGAUAAGGUGUCCGGCCCCCCUCCCAGAGACCGCACUGGAGCCCGUGCUGGUCAGAAUGUUGGAGGUUGCGCCCACAGAAGGGGGCGACAGGGACAAUAGAGGAGCUAAAAUUCCACCCAAAGAGGCGACUGAAGAGGAGGGAACCAAAAACCCCUCCCUUCAGGGGGAGAAGAGGACCGCCUCCGAAGAUCCAGAGGUUAAAGCCCCUAAGCGCAGGAAGAAAUCCUCACCGGGGGGUCCGGCGUCCGGAGAGAGUCCGGACGUACAAUCAUCGCCAAAGGACCAGCCCUCCAACGAGCCGUGAGUAUGAAAGAGGGAAUUAAUCAUUAAGGAAAUACCUUCAUUUGUGCUUCCGUAGGUAACCGAAGUAUUUAUAUCCUAGUUCGGAUCUGCAGCCUUCUCAGAUGAGUUCAUCUUCGGGGGACCUUCUUCCGGAGAUGAUGGAGAGCGACACGCCUCCAUCCGCGGCGCCGCCAGAUGAGGCAGGUGAACCCGAGGUGUCGUCACGGAGGACGUCCCCAAGUCCGGAGGGGCCAGAGAGUUCGGCACCCACCAGAGUCCAGCCGGGAGGACUGGGGAGUCUGCUUGAGAGGGCAUCCAUUUCGGAAGAUCACUGCACGUUAAUGCGUAUGGUGAUUGGAAUGAUUUCGUCCGCUGAAAGCAGAUUGCGUAAUGCCGCCAUGAACUUGCUGGCGGGGUUUGAGGUAUGCGAAAAUAGCGCACCCCUUUGUCUUUUAACAGUUUUGCAUAUAAAAAAUGCGCCCUGUAUAGAUAGUAGCCCCUGAGACUCGGAGGUUGUCGGAAACGACAACAUGCCGAGGAUCGAAAUCUCAUAAUCCGAGGUAAUGAAAACUGCCGUCCUGAUACAGGUAGCGGAUAGUCCGGGGGCCAGCCGGACUAAUGAGUUUUCUGAAUUAAGGCGGCAACUUGACAUGGCGGAUGCUGACAUCGCGCUUGUCAACCGGCGACUUGACGAGUCGCAAGGUAAAUAAAUUCUCCGCAAUUGCUUUAUUUGAGGGGGUCGAAGCCCUUCUCUAAUAAAUUGUAUACUGUUUGUACAGAUGGUGCUGCUGCUGUGGAGGGCCUUCGGGCCGAACUUGCUCAAGCUAAGGAGCAAGCCCAAAGGAGUGAUGCGGCUGCCUUGAAGGCGGCCGAAGAGUUGAAAGCCGAGAAGGCUGCGCACUGCCUGAGCAGGGCGGAGGUGGCCGAAUUGGCCAUGAAAUUAAAGGAUUCUACCAACCGCAAUGAGGCUCUUGAAAAGGAGCACUUGUCGGAGCGGGAAGACCUGAAGAAGGCCACCGCCGAAGCCAAGGAUGCCCGCUCUGCAAUGCGGGCUAUGAAGGAGGAGCUGCGCCAAGCCGGAGAAAUCGCAGCAGGCAAGCCUUUUUUGAUGCGUUGCCGGUUUAUGGAUGCCAAAUACGCUCGAUUUGAGCGGCUGUGGAGUUUGGAGGAUCCGUAUAUGGACUUGGCUGCGAGUGCGGCUGACGCCGUUAAGCACUUCCGGAGCCAGGGGGAUCACGAGACGGAAGAGUUAUAUUGGUCUCAAUUCCACAGUCCGGAUCGCCCUCUUCCGCUGACGGACAGGUUGGCCGAGUGGGUCAAACUAAAUAGACUGUCUGGACUGGCUAUGAGUGACAUCGUGGCCCAUGUCUGGCCAGAGAGGUCCAAGGCGACGAGCUACUUCGGCCUACUACAGCAAUUCCUUGGGGCGGUGCCGCAUAUCAAGGAGAUGAAGCAAUCGGCCUGCAUCGAGGGCGCGCGGAUGGCUCUUGCCCGUGUGAAGGUGCAUUAUCCGGAGAUGGAUGCCACCGCCGUUGCCAACCAGGGUCCGGAUGAAAGUCGUCUCCCUGCUGAGCACUACUUCGGAGAAGUCAUGCGUGGUGCUCGUAAAAUAGAGGCACAGUGCUCAAAGAAUGUAACGUUCAAAUGAACGCAUUAGAUUGUAAAUCAAUGAUUAUGGUAUAACUGCUUUUUAUACUUGUGCGUCCAAGUGAUAAAACUUCUCCUGUGCGGCCGUUUUACGUAUACUUGUGUAUAACCCUGAAAGAUGCAGUCUUCGGCUUCAGCCCCCUCGCACAAGGUGCUGGGGUGUUCGCAAAAUAGCGCGUUUUCACACUUAAUCCGACGUCUCGGUCCUGUUAGAAGGAGGUGGUAGCGUAGCGAACGAGGCAAUCCGGACUAUAAUGCUUUAUCUCUUUCACUUAGCCAAUGGAGCUCGAGGGUGGGGCUAUGAUAUAGCCCCUGAUGACACCGCACAUCUCCGGAUUCGGGGUGCGUAUGUGCCUGACCGGGAAACGGUCCUUCGUCAAAGCGGGGAAUUCUAAACAUUCCGAUAGUCGAUCGAGUGGCUGACCAGACUCUCGCUGUAUCAUGACAGUCAGUUUUCGGCUUUCUCUACUGAGGUGCUCGCCCAGCCCAACUGGGGCACAAUCGUAGUAGUUCUCCUGGUGCCGCGUUAGCCGAUGAUACGGAACGUAAGGCAGCAAAACACAGGAGCCGGGAAAACCCAACAUUUGACCAAAGACAUGAUUCGGAGCUGAUGCAUAUAAUGCCUAACUCGAGACGCCGAACACUCCCGAAGGUGUUCGGACUUUAUAAUAAUGGGCAGAAUUAUGCCCGAAGCCCCUAGUGUCCAGGUACGGGCAUGGUCUUCUGACGCGGCCGAUGCCAAAGCGUCAGGCUCCGCUUUGGCUAUAGGAAGGAGCCAAGGGAGAGUAACAACAAGAGACAGUAAUAAAAAGGUCUACGCAGGGUCUUAAUCUGAAAAGAAUCCUUGCAACGGGUCCCUGCUGCACGUCUGCGCCUGUGUCUCCGUUGCGCUGUUAUCCUGGACGGGUACGCACGUUGUUCAUCUGUAGAAAGAGAGGAACAUUUAGUUGUAGAAACAGUUCGUGCGAAAAAUAUGCAAAAAGAAGAAAUAUAAAUAAUUAAAGCAAGGCUUAUGUGAAACCGCGGUGAGUUGUGCGCGCAGCCCCCUGUGAAAGGGUAUGCGGCUAGGGAGCCCCUAGCCUGCUGGGUCCGGAUUCGUCUAUCCGACUCCGGGGUCUUUAAGGGACCCUCGCACUGAAAUGGCACCAUGUGGGCCGGGCAUCUUGAGUAUAAGAGACGCGUAAUGCGGUAUGGCGUUGAAGCGGACAAAAGCCUUUCGUCCCAACAGUGCUUGAUAUUCACUCUUAAAUGGGACGAUAUGGAAAAUUAAUUUUUUGCGUCGAAAGUUGUUCGGCGAUCCAAACACGACUUCUAGUAAUAUCGAGCCUGUGCACCUGGCGUAAGGGCCUGGCGUCACUCCUUUGAAGGAAGUGCAGCUGUGUCGAAUUUUGGUAGGGUCUAUCCCCAUCCUAUGGAUUGUGUUUGAAUAUAGCAGGUUUAAGUCACUGCCUCCGUCCAUUAGGACGUUUGUGAAUUGUAAUCCGUCUAUUAUCGGAUUCAAUAUCAGGGGAGUCCGUCCCGCAUUUCGAACGCUUCUAGAAUAGUCCAGGUGGUCGAAAGUGAUUGGUUUUGAUAUCCAAUCUCUACGGUCUGCUGGGUUGGACCGUGCGAAGCUCUUUUUAGAAAGUGCCGCACUAUUUUUCCGUGUCAUCACAUGAAGUGAGUUUACUGAUUUGACCCCUUGUGGGAAAGUCUUUUGUUUUCCGGUGCCCUACUGGCGGGGUUUAUCUUCUUCGCUUGACGCGUCGAGCCCCUUGUGUUCGGCGUUUAAUCGGCCGGACUGUUUGAAAACCCAACAAUCCCUGUGGGUGUGAUUUGCGGGCCUUCCGGGGGUACUGUGGAUUUGACAUAUCCGACCCAGAAUUUUGUAUCGGCUGGACAGUUCGUCACUAUCAUCUUUGAGGGGAUGAGUUUUGUUAUUGGGCCGCGAGCUUUUGAAUCCGGCGUUUACUGCCGUGCUCUUUGGGCUUUUCUCUUUAUUCCGGCGCUGCUCUUUUCCGCGCCGUGAUUUUCCGUUUCCAUCUCUCAUCUCGGAUGUACUUGGGUCGCUGGUGCUGCUUCGUGCUAGCCAGCUAUCCUCCCCCGCACAGAAGCGGGUCAUGAGGCUUAUUAAUGCGGUCAUUGUCCUUGGUUUCUCUUGACCGAGGUGUCUGGCGAGCCAUUCGUCUCGGACAUUGUGCUUGAAAGCUGCUAAGGCUUCGGCGUCCGGACAGUCGACUAUUUGGUUCUUUUUGGUGAGGAACCUGUUCCAGAAUUUCCUCGCUGACUCUCCGGGUUGUUGAGUUAUAUGACUUAAAUCAUCUGCAUCCGGAGGACGGACAUAGGUCCCUUGAAAAUUUGCUCUAAACGCUUCCUCGAGCUCUUCCCAACUUCCAACAGUGUUUUCUGGGAGGCUUUUGAGCCAAUGACGGGCUGGCCCUUUGAGCUUGAGGGGUAGAUAUUUUAUGGCGUGGAGAUCGUCUUCUCUGGCCAUAUGUAUAUGCAAUAUAUAGUCUUCUAUCCAGACUCCAGGGUCUAUUGUUCCAUCGUAGGCUUCUAUGUUUAUGGGUUUAAACCCUGCUGGGAAUUCAUGAUCCAGCACCUCGUCGGUGAAACAUAGUGGGUGUGCGGCGCCCCUGUACUUGUAUGUGCCGCUAUCGUCGGCUACUUGACGUGUUGCUUUGCUUCUUGGGGCUUUCUUUUUGGGUCCGUAGAUAGACCUGGCUGGGCCAUUGGACGGUGGGGGCUCUAUGGCCUCCUCGUCGAAUUCUGGAAGCAGCUUACGCUUCGGGUAGCUCUUCGAUUGGUGGCCAUUGCCGUAUUUAUCUGCGGUUUUGAGUACUUUGCUCCAUCUUAUUCGGAGCGUGUCUUCCGCUGUUUUGAGCUUCCGCUUUUCCUUCUUCAGGCUUCUUGCUGUGGCGAUGAGCCUGCGCUUAAAAAGCUCUUGUUCGACGGGGUCCUCGGGCGCGACGAGUUCAUCGUCAUUGAGGCUUGCUUCGUCUUCGGAGGGAGGUAUAUAGUUAUGAUCCUCAACCUUUUCGUCUGCCGCCCUUUCGUGAGGGCUUGCUUCUGCAUCCUCCUGCGCUGAGUCUUGCUGGAGGGGGUUGUCUUCGGCACUCUCUGGGGUAUUGUUAUUUCCUGUGCCGGAAUCUAUGUUCUUGCUGUGGCGGGAUUUGGAGCGGUGCCGCUGACGCCGGCGUUUGGGCUGCUUCUUUAGAGAAUCUGCCUCCGCUGCUUCUUCGCCAUCCCCUUCUUUUGGGGUAUCCACCAUGUAUACGUCAUAUGACGAGGUGGCCUUCCAGUGCCCUGUAGGCGCUGGUUCCUGUUCGUCUCCUGCAUCGUCGUCCAUAGCGUCGAUGUCUUCGGAGUCGUAGUCUAGCAUGUUGGUUAAAUCCUCGACAGUGGCUACAAAGUGGGUGGUGGGUGGGCUUUGAAUUUCUUUGUCGUCCGAACUCCAACCAUCCUGGCCGCAGUCCGGCCAGGAUUCUUCUGAUAGCGAGAGAUGCUUCAGUGAAUUCAGGAUAUCGCCGAAAGGCGAGUGCUGGAAGAUGUCCGCGGUGGUGAAUUCCAUAACCGGCGCCCAAUCCGAGUUAGUUGGCUGGGGCGCGGGAGGCUCGGAGUCCGGCAAGGAGUCCGGUGCCUCGGGAUCACGAAUCUCGCAGGGGACAAGAUUAGUAUUCGGCUCCAUCGCCGUGGAUGUUGAAGCCCCCAGGGCGGCGUCUAUCCACCAGCCCUUGAUAUGGGCGAUCGGCUCCGGGCUAAGGGCCGAAGCGGAUCCGAGUGCAGCCACCAAAGCACUGUUCGGCGGCAGAGCUAGAUCAUGCCCAUCGUCACAGUGCGGCGCGCUUGGCUGUGGCUCGGGUCCGUCGAAGAUCAAGUCUCCGCGGACAUCGGCCGUGAAGUUUAAGCUUCCGAAUCUGACCUGACGGCCAGGGGCGUAGCUUUCGAUAUGCUCCAGAUGGCCAAGAGAAUUGUCCCGCAGUGCAAAGCCGCCGAAUACGAAGAUCUGUCCGGGGAGAAAAGUCUCACCCUGGACAGCGUUGAUGGUUGAAGAUGCCAUCGAGCCUAUCGGUGACGACACAGAGGAACUCUCAAUGAAAGCACCAAUGUCGGUGUCAAAACCGGCGGAUCUCGGGUAGGGGGUCCCGAACUGUGCGUCUAGGCGGAUGGUAACAAGAGACGAGGGACACAAUGUUUUUUCCCAGGUUCGGGCCCUCUCGAUGGAGGUAAAACCCUACGUCCUGCUUGAUUAAUAUUGAUGAUAUGGGUAGUACAAGAGUAGAUCUACCACGAGAUCAAGGAGGCUAAACCCUAGAAGCUAUCCUAUGGUAUGAAUGUUGAGAUGUAUGUUCGUCCUAUGGACUAAGGCCCUCCGGUUUAUAUAGACACCGGAGAGGCUAGGGUUACACAGAGUCGGUUACAAUGGUAGGAGAUCUACAUAUCCGUAUUGCCAAGCUUGCCUUCCACGCCAACGAAAGUACCUUCCGGACACGAGCCGGAGUCUUCAAUCUUCUAUCUUCGUAGUCUUGGAGUCCGGCGGAUAAUGAUAGUCCGGCUGUCCGAACACCCCCUAGUCCAGGACUCCCUC
rnacentral:lncRNA from 1 species